GCCGGGCAUGGUGGCACACGCCUGUAAUCCCAGCUGCUGGGGAGGCUGAGACAGGAGAAUUGCUUGAACCCAGGAGGCGGAGCUUGCAGUGAGCUGAGAUCAUGCCACUGCACUCCAGCCUGGGUGACAGAGCAAGAUUCUGUCUCAA
rnacentral:SRP_RNA from 1 species